GAUGAACGCUGGCGGCGUGCCUAAUACAUGCAAGUCGAGCGAACAGACGAGGAGCUUGCUCCUCUGACGUUAGCGGCGGACGGGUGAGUAACACGUGGAUAACCUACCUAUAAGACUGGGAUAACUUCGGGAAACCGGAGCUAAUACCGGAUAAUAUAUUGAACCGCAUGGUUCAAUAGUGAAAGACGGUUUUGCUGUCACUUAUAGAUGGAUCCGCGCCGCAUUAGCUAGUUGGUAAGGUAACGGCUUACCAAGGCAACGAUGCGUAGCCGACCUGAGAGGAGGGUCAGGAAAGCGGGAACUGAGACACGGUCCAGAAGCCGGCGGGAGGCAGCAGGGGGGAAUAUUGGACUAUGGUCGAAAGAAUGAUAAAGACAUGACGAGGGAGUGAAGAAGGGAUUAGGAUUGGAAAGCACGGGAAGGGGGGAAGAACGGAAGGGAGUUAAUACAGUGCUGUCUUGAGGGUAAGAAAAGAAUAAGAAAAGGAUAACUUCGUG
rnacentral:rRNA from 1 species